AACGAACGCUGGCGGCAGGCUUAACACAUGCAAGUCGAAUGCACCUUUCGGGGUGAGUGGCAGACGGGUGAGUAACGCGUGGGAAUCUACCCUUCUCUACGGGAUAGCUCCGGGAAACUGGAAUUAAUACCGUAUACGUCCUGAGGGAGAAAGAUUUAUCGGGGAAGGAUGAGCCCGCGUUGGAUUAGCUAGUUGGUGGGGUAAAGGCCUACCAAGGCGACGAUCCAUAGCUGGUCUAAGAGGAUGAUCAGCCACAUUGGGACUGAGACACGGCCCAAACUCCUACGGGAGGCAGCAGUGGGGAAUAUUGGACAAUGGGCGCAAGCCUGAUCCAGCCAUGCCGCGUGAGUGAUGAAGGCCCUAGGGUUGUAAAGCUCUUUCAGUGGGGACGAUAAUGACGGUACCCACAGAAGAAGCCCCGGCUAACUUCGU
rnacentral:rRNA from 1 species